rnacentral:rRNA from 2 species
UGCAGUCGAGCGGAGUUUUGAAAGCUUGCUUUUCAAAACUUAGCGGCGGACGGGUUAGUAACACGUGGGCAACCUGCCCUUGAGACGGGGAUAACUCCGGGAAACCGGAGCUAAUACCGGAUAACACAUAUCUUCGCAUGAGGAUAUGUUAGAAGGUGGCUUUUAGCUACCACUCAAGGAUGGGCCCGCGGCGCAUUAGCUAGUUGGUGAGGUAACGGCUCACCAAGGCGACGAUGCGUAGCCGACCUGAGAGGGUGAUCGGCCACACUGGGACUGAGACACGGCCCAGACUCCUACGGGAGGCAGCAGUAGGGAAUCUUCCGCAAUGGACGAAAGUCUGACGGAGCAACGCCGCGUGAGUGAUGAAGGUUUUCGGAUCGUAAAGCUCUGUUGUUAGGGAAGAACAAGUACCUGUUAAAUAAGCAGGUACCUUGACGGUACCUAACCAGAAAGCCACGGCUAACUACGUGCCAGCAGCCGCGGUAAUACGUAGGUGGCAAGCGUUGUCCGGAAUUAUUGGGCGUAAAGCGCGCGCAGGCGGUUCCUUAAGUCUGAUGUGAAAGCCCACGGCUCAACCGUGGAGGGUCAUUGGAAACUGGGGAACUUGAGUGCAGAAGAGGAGAGCGGAAUUCCACGUGUAGCGGUGAAAUGCGUAGAGAUGUGGAGGAACACCAGUGGCGAAGGCGGCUCUCUGGUCUGUAACUGACGCUGAGGCGCGAAAGCGUGGGGAGCGAACAGGAUUAGAUACCC